UCCUAGUGAAGACGUGUGCCACGACUGC
rnacentral:sRNA from 1 species